UUGAGGGGAACAAGCAGAGGUCUAAGCUCCCCACCCGCUCCGCUGCCCAGUCUCUGGUUCCCCAGGGGGGUCGGAAGCAGGAGGAACAAACGGACAAAGGAUUGUGAAUUACACAGUGACCAGGGCAGAGAUUUCCCGCUAUGGGAUCCCAAUGUGGGGUAAAUCCCUCAGCUCCCCAGCCCCUGCUGUCACCGACGCUCCUGCUGUCCCCCCCAGCCCAGCCACAGGUGUCUGAGAUCCAGGUGUUACCGCACUGGGAGCCCCGGGAUGAGGUGCCGUUUGCCGUCCAGCUCCAGAACUUUUACCCCAGGGGGAUUCACCGGAUCCAGUGGAGCUGGGAUGGGAAAAGCUGGGAAAAGUCUGAACCAACCGACUACAGCGAGAACCCGGAUCUCACGUUCAGUGCUACCAGCGUCUGGAGAAUCCCCAGCCGGGAACUGAACCGUCUGGGACUCAGAGUCCGAGUGUCCGUUCAGCAAAGUCCUCAAGAGCCCCCGAUCGAGAGAGAGAUCAGAGCCGAGGACACAGCCCCAGCCGUGUCAGAAAUCUCCAAACCCGAGUCAGUUACAGCGGGGAAGGAAAUCACCCUGAGCUGCCGCAUGACGGGACAUUUCCCCGGGGCGCUGAGUGUGGCCUGGCUCAGAACGCAGAGAUCAACCACAGGCUCUCAUUUUGAGGAAAAGAGCAAGGGAGACAUCCUGGUUCCUCUAGAAAACUCUGCCGAGUACAGAAUCGAGCCCGGAGCUCCCCACACACAGGACGGAAAAACCUUCCAGCAGGAGACGAGACUCAGCUUCACCCCCUCGGUGCAGAGAGACCAGGGGGCCAAGUUCAUCUGCCGGGUGGGACACGUCACCCUAGAGAUCCCCCUGGAGAGACGCACUGGGGAGCUGCACGUGGCAGAGCCACCACAAGCUCCAGUUCUUCGCGAGAUCUCCCGGCCGCAGGUCCUGGCCCCCGGGGAGCAGGUCACACUGAGCUGCCAAAUAUCCAGGUUCUACCCCAAGGAGCUGAGCGUGACCUGGUACCGACGGGGAAGGGGAGAGUCGGAGUUCAGGUGCUUAGACAAGCCGGACACCCACAUGAUUGACACCCCAGACCCCACAGCCGCGCCAGACAGGAAAUCCUACUUCGUGAUGUCCCAGCUCCGCCUCACCCCCAUGCUGCCCGAGGACGACGGGGCAGAGUACCGGUGUUCUGUGGAACAUGAAACCCUGCAGGAGCCUGAAGGAAAAUCCACUGGGCCGCUGGAGCUGCGAGGUGGCCCCCCUCUCGAUGGAGACACGUCCGUUUUUUGACUGUCCUGCACUCACCACGGCCGGUGCUGGGGAGACAGAGCCAGCUGCAAGCCACUCGGAGAGGAGAGAACAAACUGACCCCUUGUGAUGCUGUGUGAUCGACGUGUGACCGUGCACAGCACUGGUGUUGCCACAGUGCUACAACUGCAAGAGAACUUGUACCAAGCACGUCAUGUCCGGCGUCACUGGGAAAGUUAUGAAUUGCUAAGUGUGGAUAUCCUCCUUAUAUGUGUAGCCCCCCGCCCCCGUUCACCGGCCCAGAAUGAGGUGGUUCGAGAUCGGGGAAGCCUGUUUGUGACCCUUUACACAACGUUAGGGGACUGGGCCUGAGCCUCCUGUGUGUGCUCUGCGUUGUGUGUCAGUGUGUUCACCUCAGACCAGACCCACUCAGACAAACCACCAGGUACAGGCUUUAUUCUGUAAAGAACAUAGAACAGGCUCACAGUCCAGCAGCCUCCUCUGCCAGCCUGCUCCGUGCUCCCAGCCCAGUCAGUGCAGAGACCC